GAAGACAACCACAGUGAGGUUUGCAAAGCAACCUCAGAGCCUGGUACUCCAAAAGCCCCACAUUAUGAUAGUGGGGUGAGGAGGCUCCCCAGCCUGCCAGGCUAAAACUGUGACCCCUAGAACACUUGUCUAAUGUGAGUUUUCCUGAUUGGCUGACUGGGGAUGUGCACUGGGCUUUGCGACUGGGACUCUUCAGUCACACCAUAUACAGACUAGAGAAGAAACGAGACCAUUGAAUCAAGCAACCUCAAGAGCUGAAGGAGGCCCAAAGGGUCAGCUACUUUGAGCACUCAUCUGAUGCUUCUGCGCUCCUCUAUGACAUCCUGACAAUAAGUCAUCGGCCUGUGCUUGAAUUUCUCCAAUGAUGGGAACUCUGGCUCUUGAGACAACUGGUCCCAUCUUUGGGUUAUCACUGCUAGAAAAUCCUUCCUUUCAUUGAUGGUCUCCUUGCAUAAAAGUGCUUCUUCAAAUAUG